CGCGAAUAGCUCAUUACAACAGCUAAAAUUUACUCGAUCUUGACACAAUCCUACUUGGAUAACUGUGGUAAUUCUAGAGCUAAUACAUGCAUUAAAGCUCUGACCUUCGGGGAAGAGUGCAUUUAUUAGAACAAAACCAAGCGGCUUCGGCUGUUUUCGGUUGACUCAUAGUAACUGAGCUGAUCGCAUGGUCUUGCACCGGCGACGUGUCGUUCAAGUAUCUGCCGUAUCAACUUUCGAUGGUAGUGUAUCUGACUACCAUGGUGAUCACGCGUAACGGAGAAUAAGGGUUCGACUCCGGAGAGUUCGCCUGAGAAAUCGCGAACACAUCUAAGGAAGGCAGCAGGCGCGAAAAUUACCCACUCUCAGCACGAGGAGGUAGUGACGAAAAAUAACGAGACCGUUCUCUUAUGAGGCCGGUCAUCGGAAUGGGUACAAUUUAAACCCUUUAACGAGUAUCUAUGAGAGGGCAAGUCUGGUGCCAGCAGCCGCGGUAAUUCCAGCU
rnacentral:rRNA from 1 species